GGCAGAAGGAGCACAAACAUAAAGUAGGAGAAUGAGCAGGAAGGGCCUGCAAGGAGCAGAAAGGGUCAGAAAUGAGCUGGAAGGGGCAGAAGGAGCACAAACAUAAAGUAGGAGAAUGAGCAGGAAGGGCCUGCAAGGAGCAGGAAGGAGCACAAAGGGAUAGCAAGGAGCACAAAGGUAAAGGAGCAGAAAGAAUCAGGAGGACCACAAAGGUAAAGUAGGAGAAAGAGCAGAGAGAGACAGG